rnacentral:piRNA from 1 species
UAACUUGGGCUGGCAAAUUGAUUAUUGCA